rnacentral:ncRNA from 1 species
CAUGACAGGGGCAGCUUUGGUUCCGGCGGCUUGCCGCUGGAUUAAAAGGGAACUGCGGUGCGCCUGAGGGCAAAGCCGCGGCUGCCCCCGCAACUGUAAGCGGCGAGCGACGGCCGACCAUGUCACUGGGACCCAAUGUCCCGGGAAGACCGGCCCGAGCCCUGACCCGCGAGCCAGGAGACCUGCCCAAGCGAUCACCCAUUU